AACGCCGCGUGAAGGAAGAAGGCUUUCGGGUUGUAAACUUCUUUUCUCAGGGACGAACAGAUGACGGUACCUGAGGAAUAAGCCACGGCUAACUACGUGCC
rnacentral:rRNA from 1 species